rnacentral:sRNA from 1 species
UUUUUGCGUUAGGGAUUGCAGUGAAAAUCCUUUUGCUUUUUUGCAAAAGAUUGUAACGGAAAGCGCGCCCCUUG